rnacentral:rRNA from 1 species
UCCUCGAAAGAUCCGUCKCCUUAGGAUGGGACUGCGUCCGGAUUAGGUAGUUGGUGGGGUAACGGCCCACCAAGCCUGUCAUCGGUACGGGUUGUGGGAGCAAGAUCCCGGAGAUGGAUUCUGAGACAUGAAUCCAGGCCCUACGGGGCGCAGCAGGCGCGCAAACUUUACAAUGCGAGCAAUYGURAUAAGGAAACCCUGAGUGCCUGUCGAWRCAGACUAUUMAUCUGUUUAAAUUGCAGGUGAAGAAAGGGCAGGGCAAGACCGGUGCCAGCCGCCGCGGUAAUACCGGCUGCUCGAGUGAUGGCCACUAUUAMUGGGUUUAAAGCGUCCGUAGCUUGACUGAUAGGUCUCUUGGGAAAUCUUAACGCUUAACGUUAAGGCGUCUAAGAGAUACCGUCAGUCUUGGAACUGGGAGAGGUAAACCGUACUUCGGGGGUAGGAGUGAAAUCUUGUAAUCCKMGAGGGACGWCCUAUGGCGAAGGCAGUUUACCAGAACAGCUUGACAGUGAGGGACGAAAGCUGGGGGA